GCGUAAACAGAAAUGAAGUCCUGGACGCUAAGGACUUUUAUUAUGACGAGUUUCUUUAUUGCCGACUGGUCUACAAGACAUCACCUUCCUUCCGUCUUCCUUUUUACCUGAUUGCGACUUUGAGAUAUUGGAGUUGUGAGCAGUCCUUGGAAAGAUGCCGCACCUCAGUAAGAGGUCCCUGGCAGCCAAGAGAAGACUGGCUGACCUGGGAUUCACUUCAAAGGACCAGGGCUCCUCUGAGACACCAUGUCCCAGUAAGAGGUCCCUGGUGGCCGAGAAGAGACAGGCUAGCCUGGGGUCCUCUGAUGAGAUGCCACCUCUCAGUAAAAGGUCCGUGGUGGCUGAGGAGAAACAAGUUGACCUGGGGUGUAUUCCAGAAAGCAGGUUUUGUUGAAAACUCAGAGUUUGUUAACCCCAGAAAAGGGAAACUUGGGGUUUUCAGUUCCAAUAAAAGACAAAACUAAACCUCUGGGUAAGUUACCAUAGUAACUCUGUGAACAUAACCUACUCUCUAGCAGGUUUUGUUGAAACAAACCCCGAAUUUCUGCGUAUCUCCUCCCUCCUGCUGACCAGCUAUUGGACAUGAGCUGUGAUGUUGUCGCCUUCCCGUUGCUGUUAAAACCAAGUUAAUUUGCAUUAGGCCAUGUAGGAAGAAGAAGCUGGUUCGAGUUUCUGCGAAGUCCUUACAGACUUUUUUGUAGGCUACUUAAUUUAAGAACAUGGGUUGUCCUUUCAUGAGAAAUCCCAUUGAUAUCGAGGCAGAGCCGAUUCGUGCAGCUUUACGUCGGGAGAGGGUUUUGCGACCCCGUGUAGACAUACUGUCAUUCCCAGAUGAAUACCUAAUAGAAAGAUAUCGGUUUUCUUCACAGUCACUUACAUACCUCAACAAUGUCCUACGGCCUUUCGUUGGCAAUAUCACUCACCGCAGGAAUGAGCUGAUGUCAGAACAAAUUUUGUGCAUUGCUCUAUGCUUUUUUGCCAAUGGAAGUUUCCUAUACAACAUCGGUGAUGCAGAAAACGUAGGCAAAGCAACAGUUUGCAGAGCCGUUAGAAAAGUGUGUCUUGCACUUAAACGUGUGCUGCACAAUUUUGUAGUUUUCCCCGGGCACAAACCUGUCAAUGCCAUUAAAGAGGAAUUCUACAGGAUUGCAGGUGCCUGACAGUUUGUCAUCCAUUCAAUUAAUAUUAAUUUUGUCAAUUGUAUUACUCAUUCUGCUGCAACCUCUGCAUGGAUUUAACUCAUGAUGCUAUUUUGCAGGGUUUCCUAAUGUAAUUGGCUGCAUUGAUGGAACCCAGAUUCCCAUCAUAGCUCCUUCAGUAAAUGAAGGAGACUAUGUGAAUAGGGAGUCUUUUCAUAGCAUUAGUGUGCAGGUAUAUUGCAUGUUGUGUUACAGUAGCAUACUAUAUCAGGCUACAUCACAGUACACUGUAACUCAUAGGCCAUCUCUCAUUGUCUGCACUGUGAAGAUCAUAUGUGAUGCUGCACAUUUGAUAACAAAUGUAGAAGCAAAAUGGCCCGGAUGUGUUCAUGACUCCAGAAUUUUUCGGGAGUCUACUGUGAGCGCCAGACUAGGAAAAAGUAAAAAAGGCUUUGGAUAAAGAAUUUUGCUCUCUGUCUCUUCUGGCUCUCCAAAUAUGUUCGCUGUCAUUUCAGGAGAGUUUGUAGGCCACCUUCUGGGAGACAGAGGAUAUCCUUGUCUACCUCAUCUGAUGGCCCCUUACCCAGACCCAGAACCAGGCCCACAAUAAUGCUUCAACAUAGCCCACAGCAGGACCAGAGCAUGAGUUGAAAUGACAAUUGGCGUGCUCAAAGCAAGGUUUCAGUGUCUGCGUAAACUCAGAGUAACCGCUGAAAGAGCAUGCGACAUCAUUGUGGCAUGUGUUGUUCUUCAUAAUAUUGCUACAAUUAGAGGAGAGCAGCACCCUGCCAUACAAAUUGAAAAUGAUGACCCCAUCCCUCUGGCAGAUGUCCUGGAUGGCAGGUCUGUCUGGGACACCAUUUGCAGAAAUCAUUUUGCAUAAAUCACACCUGGUCAGAAAUAAAGACAAGAAAACUAGCCAUCAUCUGUCUUUUUAAUAAGCUUUGACAGAUAAGUCUUUUCAAUUUCUGUUUUUUCUAUCCAUUUCAAAAGGUGCACUUUAUACAAGUCCUUUACAGGUAACUGUGGAGAAACAGGGAUAGUAUUAAGUUUACAGUUCCAUUGUACUUGCAUAACUGGAACCAGGAACAUAAUUAACAUCUCACAGUGUUCAUAUGUGCUGUGCUCGUUGAUGGCUGGUCCUGGCAUAGGCCUGGCAUGCUCUGUGAAAAAGAAUUUAAUACAAAUAGCUCUUUAAAAUUCACUCACCUUCGUCACAUCACUUCUAUACAUUUCAGCCUGUCAAAUCCUCAGUUAUGCAAGACAAAUUAGGUUGAUGUAUACCUCUGUAGGCCUUGCAGAAGGCUCCUCUGUGACAGCUGUGGCAGUGUCCUCAUCAGGAUAACCACAACCAGCACCAUGGUCAUCAUCACUACAGUCAUCAUCACCAUGCUGUAGACAACAAGCUGUUAGCAGUACAAUUGAGAGUACAUUUAACCAAAUGUCUGGAAUUCAGAUUGCUUACAACUGCAGGGGCUUCUGUUGGGGUUCCUGGAGGCUCUUGAAGGUGGAUGACACCAUCUACAACUAUAAAGACAAUAGUGAAAAAAGCCAUGGUUGUAUUUGUGUACCCAUCACACCUACACAUACUGCACACAGUCUUCUAACACAUAUACACUGACAUUUUAUGUAGCCACUUGUGUCGUGGGGGGCACUCAGAAGAGCUCCCUCCUGGGACGCCUUCGACCAUUGGUUGCCCCGUGUUUUGGCUCAGAGCCAGUUGCUCGGCCUCAGUCAGAGGUGGUGGUGGUGGUCCUCCACCCAUUUUGCGGGCCUCCGCCGUCUGUCUCUUAGCUGGAAAGAGGCAAAAUAAAAAAAGUUACCUACUAUCUCAAGGAACACUUAGGCCUAAAACCAACACUUAGCUCUACAUACAUAGCCGAAAUUUCACACUAUAUACACACAUGAUUCAAACCAAAAUCAUAUGCCUUACCUGUUUGUACGAUGUUUUUAUAUUUCAUUUUUAAACUGUGAAACUGCAGUUGUGAAACUGCAGUUUUCUGAAUAUCAAAACUGCAUUGAAACUGCAGUAUUUGAAGGAUUAUUUGCAGUUAAUAUGCAGGAAAUGCAAUAUAUUUAUUACACGAAAAAAUGUUUUUCAGUCCCAUAACUGCAGUUAUUUUUGUAAGGGCCAGUUUGUCUGCACAGUAUGUCACUUUUGCAAGUUUCAAAAAGAAAAGUCAUGUAGGUUGGUCUAGGUCAUGCAAAGCCACUUGCUAUUUUAUAAGGGUCAAAUAACCGAAAUAGCAUUUAACAAUGGUAUUCACCAGCCUAUUCAUUAGGAUUAGGAUUAGGAUCAUACGCUAUUAAAAGAUGAGAAAAGGCUUAGCAAUCUACAUUAUCAAAGUUACGUACGCAUUGACUCGGGCAGCAGUGGACUCCCAUGCUGCCUGUCUUGCCUUUGCGGAAGCUGCUGUGUUACUUUUUUUCUGAUAAUGUGUUCGUAGUCGCCGUAAGCUUUUAGGAGUGUCUCUAGUUCCAGUGGCGUGAAAUACGAUGAAUGGUUGCGUUCUCCUGUUGCCAUGGUGAAUCAAUGAAUCGGAGCUCUAUUGAUGAUGGCUUUUUAUAUUUGUCGGGCAUGCGCGUAACUCAAGGUAAACCUACUCAGAGUUAAUUGAACUAACCCAGAACAGCUGUAUUGGAACCGUAAACUCAGAGUUUCCUAUCUCGGGGUUUGUUAACCCAUAGGUCAGGGUUUAUCUCAGAGUUUGUUGAACCUCCUUUCUGGAAUACACCCCAGGAGUCCACUGCAGAAAACCAGGAUUCUUCUGACAAGAUUGGGUGUCCUGAUGAAGAAAUAACCCAACCACAUUCUGAAAACAAACAAAACUUUCCAACAAGCAUGUUUACAGAUGUGUUUACAGAUGUGUUUAAUAACUUGGAUCAACCAACAACCAAACAACCACACUCUCUACUCUCUCCCUCUGAACUAAACUGUCAUGACUCUCCUGGAAACCUUAUGUCAUACUGUGUGAGUGAGCAAACUGUUACGAACAACCUGUUCACUUUCCAGAGAGAUGGUUAUGCUGAUGGGGUCUUUUCAUCAAGGUAAUUCACGGUUUGGAAAUGUGCGCAACAAGCAGUGUGGUGCCAUCAGUCUGACUGCUGUUUUGAAGUGCAAGACUAAGAGUGUGUUGAGUUGGGAGCCUCAAGAUCUUGAUGAUGUUUUAAUUAAAGGGACUUGCCUGUAUAGGUCAAUGAGAAACCAGGGUAAAAUAAGAGACCAUGUCCAAGGCAGGGGUUACAUUGCUGUGUUUGAAUUUCCAAGCAACAAGGGGGGAAUUAUGAUUUCUCAAUAAACUUUGCUGAUUCCUUCA